rnacentral:misc_RNA from 1 species
AACGCACGAGACCUGCGGACCUGCGGAAGGAUCAUUAUCGAGUUUACAACUCCCAAACCAUUGUGAAUCUUACCUUUUCGUUGCUUCGGCGGGAUCGCCCCGGGCGCUUCGGUGCCCCGGAUUCAGGCGCCCGCCGGGGGACCUAAACUCUUGUAUUAUAGUGGAUUUCUGAGUGGAUUACACAAAUAAUCAAAACUUUUAGCAAUGGAUCUCU